AGUGAACGCUGGCGGUAGGCCUAACACAUGCAAGUCGAACGGCAGCACAGUAAGAGCUUGCUCUUACGGGUGGCGAGUGGCGGACGGGUGAGGAAUACAUCGGAAUCUACUUUUUCGUGGGGGAUAACGUAGGGAAACUUACGCUAAUACCGCAUACGACCUACGGGUGAAAGCAGGGGAUCUUCGGACCUUGCGCGAUUGCAUGAGCCGAUGUCGGAUUAGCUAGUUGGCGGGGUAAAGGCCCACCUAGGCGACGAUCCGUAGCUGGUCUGAGAGGAUGAUCAGCCACACUGGAACUGAGACACGGUCCAGACUCCUACGGGAGGCAGCAGUGGGGAAUAUUGGACAAUGGGCGCAAGCCUGAUCCAGCCAUACCGCGUGGGUGAAGAAGGCCUUCGGGUUGUAAAGCCCUUUUGUUGGGAAAGAAAAGCAGCAGGUUAAUACCCCGCUGUUCUGACGGUACCCAAAGAAUAAGCACCGGCUAACUUCGUG
rnacentral:rRNA from 1 species